rnacentral:snoRNA from 1 species
AAGACUAUACUUUCAGAAAUCAUUUCUAUUAUUCGUUAUUAGAGAACUUUCUCUGAUAACGUGUGUAUCACUGGAAGCCACCAGGAGAAGCCAGCUGCUGGUGUUUCCCUACAGCUGCCAUUUGCCACUGACAAUUGUUCUUUUCCUCCUUUGGGGGAGAGUAAGGGGUGGA